GGGGAAUAUUGCGCAAUGGGGGAAACCCUGACGCAGCAAUACCGCGUGAGUGAAGAAGGUUUUCGGAUCGUAAAGCUCUGUUAUUGGGGAAGAAAAAAAGACGGUACCCAAGAAGAAAGUCCCGGCUAACUACGUGCCAGCAGCCGCGGUAAUACGUAGGGGACAAGCGUUGUCCGGAUUUACUGGGCGUAAAGGGCACGCAGGCGGUUUUUUAAGUCAGAUGUGAAAUCCCCGGGCUUAACCUGGGAGCUGCAUUUGAUACUGGGUGUCUAGAGUGUAGGAGAGGAAAGUGGAAUUCCUAGUGUAGCGGUGAAAUGCGUAGAGAUUAGGAAGAACACCAGUGGCGAAGGCGACUUUCUGGACUAUAACUGACGCUGAGAUACGAAAGCGUGGGGAGCAAACA
rnacentral:rRNA from 1 species